rnacentral:rRNA from 1 species
CACGGAGGGGGCAAGCGUUGUUCGGAAUUACUGAGCGUAAAGGGCGCGCAGGCGGCUGCUCAAGUCAGGCGUGAAAGGCCUGGGCUCAACCCGGGAAUUGCGCUUGAGACUGGGCUGGCUUGAGUGCGGGAGAGGAUGGUGGAAUUCCCAGUGUAGAGGUGAAAUUCGUAGAUAUUGGGAAGAACACCAGUGGCGAAGGCGGCUCACUGGCCCGGUACUGACGCUGAGGUGCGAAAGCGUGGGGAGCGAACAGG